GAUGAACGCUGGCGGCGUGCCUAAUACAUGCAAGUAGAACGCUGAAGGAGGAGCUUGCUCUUCUGGAUGAGUUGCGAACGGGUGAGUAACGCGUAGGUAACCUGCCUGGUAGCGGGGGAUAACUAUUGGAAACGAUAGCUAAUACCGCAUGACAACAGUUAUUGCAUGAUAACUGUUUAAAAGGGGCAACUGCUCCACUACCAGAUGGACCUGCGUUGUAUUAGCUAGUUGGUGAGGUAACGGCUCACCAAGGCGACGAUACAUAGCCGACCUGAGAGGGUGCUCGGCCACACUGGGACUGAGACACGGCCCAGACUCCUACGGGAGGCAGCAGUAGGGAAUCUUCGGCAAUGGACGGAAGUCUGACCGAGCAACGCCGCGUGAGUGAAGAAGGUUUUCGGAUCGUAAAGCUCUGUUGUAAGAGAAGAACGAGUGUGAGAGUGGAAAGUUCACACUGUGACGGUAUCUUACCAGAAAGGGACGGCUAACUACGUG
rnacentral:rRNA from 1 species